UUAAAAUCUGAUAACUUUCGCCGGAGCUCCCUGAAUGUCCGUUUGAGCUCAAACUUGACAGUCAUGUUCGGUUUUAUUAACUUAACAAGCUGACGAUCACUGGUUCAGUUUCGACCCCGUUUGGUCACUGAAGACUGUACCGAACUGUAAUCUUUAUCAGAUAACUCUCGGAUUUUAUUUCUCACUCUACGGAUGUCAGAAAAAUAUGAAACUUUAAAACUAGCCUUAUAAAAAUAUUUCUGACUUAUCCUCCAAUUUUCAUAAUUUUCUGAGACUGUGCAUUUUCUGCUAAUUUAUCUGUCCCGUUUCCAAUAGAAAAUUCUAGAUCUUCUGUUUUCAUUCCGAUUUCGGCACAAGUCAUUUCUGACUUAUGUUUUACUUUCACAAAUUCAAUAAAAAUAGUUUCUCACACUAUUUUUAUUUAUUUUUAUUUUUAUACCAAAAUC
rnacentral:lncRNA from 1 species